AUUGAACGCUGGCGGCAGGCCUAACACAUGCAAGUCGAGCGGAUGAGAAGAGCUUGCUCUUCGAUUCAGCGGCGGACGGGUGAGUAAUGCCUAGGAAUCUGCCUGGUAGUGGGGGACAACGUUUCGAAAGGAACGCUAAUACCGCAUACGUCCUACGGGAGAAAGCAGGGGACCUUCGGGCCUUGCGCUAUCAGAUGAGCCUAGGUCGGAUUAGCUAGUUGGUGAGGUAAUGGCUCACCAAGGCGACGAUCCGUAACUGGUCUGAGAGGAUGAUCAGCCACACUGGAACUGAGACACGGUCCAGACUCCUACGGGAGGCAGCAGUGGGGAAUAUUGGACAAUGGGCGCAAGCCUGAUCCAGCCAUGCCGCGUGUGUGAAGAAGGCCUUCGGGUUGUAAAGCACUUUCAGUAAGGAGGAAGCGUUGAGUGUUAAUAGUACUCAGCGUUGACGUUACUUACAGAAGAAGCACCGGCUAACUCUGUGCCAGCAGCCGCCGUAAAAC
rnacentral:rRNA from 1 species